CCUACGGGUGGCAGCAGUGGGGAAUAUUGGGCAAUGGACGAAAGUCUGACCCAGCAACGCCGCGUGAAGGAAGAAGGCUUUCGGAUUGUAAAGUUCUUUUCUGAGGGAAGAAGAAAGUGACGGUACCUUAGGACUAAGACUCGGCUAACUACGUGCCAGCAGCCGCGGUAAUACGUAGGAGGCGAGCGUUAUCCGGAUUUAUUGGGUGUAAGGGGUGAGUAGGUGGGUUGGCAAGUUAGAAGUGAAACCGCAGGGCUCAACCCUGGAACUGCAUUUAAAACUGUUGGUCUUGAGUGCAGGAGGGGCAAGCGGAAUUCCUGGUGUAGCGGUGAAAUGCGUAGAUAUAAGGAGGAACACCAGUGGCGAAGGCGGGUUGCUAGACUGUAACUGACGCUGAGGCACGAAAGCGUGGGGAGCAAACAGGAUUAGAUACCCGAGUAGUC
rnacentral:rRNA from 1 species